rnacentral:rRNA from 1 species
UACGUAGGGGGCAAGCGUUGUCCGGAUUUAUUGGGCGUAAAGGGCGCGUAGGCGGCCACGCACGUCCGUUGUGAAAUCGGCCCGGCCUCAACUGGGCGGGGUCAGCGGAUACGGUGUGGCUCGAGCAAGCUAGGGGGCAAGUGGAAUUCCCGGUGUAGUGGUGGAAUGCGUAGAUAUCGGGAGGAACACCAGUGGCGAAGGCGGUUGCCUGGAGCUUUGCUGACGCUGAGGCGCGAAAGCGGUGGGGAGCGAGUCGUG